CGGGGCGUAGCGCAGUCUGGUAGCGCACUCGGCUGGGGGCCGAGCGGUCGCUGGUUCAAAUCCAGUCGCCCCGA
rnacentral:tRNA from 1 species